GCCAUAGUGUUUAUUUUACUCAUGUUAUAUACAUGUAAUGUACAUUUAAAACGGUAUACUUGCAAACCGUGGAAAUUAUGACAGUAGAGAGUUGUAAUAGUCUUAUUCAUUUAUUGUAUAAUAAGUGAACUCGUCUUUUUGUGCUUAAAGAUGUUUACAUAUAUACAUUUGUACAUAUAUAGAUACUAAUGUGUCUUACUGUGUUCCCGAAACGAGUCACAUGUUUUGUAUCAAAUAAGUGUCAGAAAUACUGUUGAAAAGGUAAAAAGAAAUCAUAUUGAUAAUGUAUUGAAAAUACGUGAUGAGGAGGUCCAAGAAACACAUGUUAAAGAGGUCGAAGAAACACGUACUGUAUUCAGAAGGUACAGAGACCUCGUGUCUAGAUGGUGCUAGAAAUACAUGGUCAGAAGGUACAGAAAACUCUUGUCUAGAUGGUGCUAGAAAUACAUGGUCAGAAGGUACAGAAAACUCGUGUGUAGAUGGUGCUAGAAAUACAUGGUCAGAAGGUACAGAAAACUCGUGUCUAGAUGGUGCUAGAAAUACAUGGUCAGAAGGUACAGAAAACUCGUGUCUAGAUGGUGCUAGAAAUACAUGGUCAGAAGGUACAGAAAACUCGUGUCCAGAGGGUGCUAGAAAUACAUGGUCAGAAGGUACAGAAAACUCGUGUCCAGAGGGUGCUAGAAAUACAUGGUCAGAAGGUACAGAAAACUCGUGUCUAGAUGGUGCUAGAAAUACAUGGUCAGAAGGUACAGAAAACUCUUGUCUAGAUGGUGCUAGAAAUACAUGGUCAGAAGGUACAGAAAACUCUUGUCUAGAUGGUGCUAGAAAUACAUGGUCAGAAGGUACAGAAAACUCGUGUCUAGAUGGUGCUAGAAAUACAUGGUCAGAAGGUAC